rnacentral:snoRNA from 1 species
ACCCUCCAGAGCCCUUACCCAGCAGAUCUAAACACUGGUCCGAGUGGUUAUCAGAGGAGGAACAGGAACAUUGAAACCGACUUCGAUGCUUUUCAGACACCCGAGCUAGCGUCAAACAACU